rnacentral:rRNA from 1 species
GACGAACGCUGGCGGCGUGCUUAACACAUGCAAGUCGAACGGAAAGGCCCUGCUUUUGUGGGGUGCUCGAGUGGCGAACGGGUGAGUAACACGUGAGUAACCUGCCCUUGACUUUGGGAUAACUUCAGGAAACUGGGGCUAAUACCUGAUAGGAGCUCCUGCUGCAUGGUGGGGGUUGGAAAGUUUCGGCGGUUGGGGAUGGACUCGCGGCUUAUCAGCUUGUUGGUGGGGUAGUGGCUUACCAAGGCUUUGACGGGUAGCCGGCCUGAGAGGGUGACCGGCCACAUUGGGACUGAGAUACGGCCCAGACUCCUACGGGAGGCAGCAGUGGGGAAUAUUGCACAAUGGGCGGAAGCCUGAUGCAGCAACGCCGCGUGCGGGAUGACGGCCUUCGGGUUGUAAACCGCUUUAGCCUGUGACGAAGCGUGAGUGACGGUAAUGGGUAAAGAAGCACCGGCUAACUACGUG